CAGAGCCCAGCCCAGCCCUGCCUGCAGCUGCCUGGCCCUGGGCAGAGCUGCUGCCCUGCCCGCCUGCAGCCUGCCACGGGAGCAGGAGCAUCCCAGCCUCUCCCUCUGCCCCCUCCAGCCCGACAAGUUGGGAAUAAUUCCCGCGGCCAAUAAAACAAGUGGCAGAGAUGGACAGUGUUACUUAAAUAAACAAGGGUCUCUUUAAAAUUCUCAUCCACUUCAGAUGUCUAAAGUAAGAUUGUGAUGAUUUUGUCACGGUUUGGUAAAUUUACCCCUUUAAGAGGCUUUCAUAAAUCCCAGAACACACCUUCAGCCAGAUUUGAAUAUAGAUUUAGGUUUUAAAACCCAGAAGCUGGGAACACCGCUUUAUCAAAGAGAAUUUCCCUUUAGCUUAGCAAUGUGUCGGAAUGGCUCUUGCAAAGAUUGGAUCUGAGAGGGGGAAAAAGGGGGAACCUUCUUUCCUGGAGCAAUCCUGCACACACUUUGCAGCUGCCUCUGCCUUCAACCUUCUGCAGCUCGGGGGAAAGUUACCAAAAAAAAAAUUUGAUAAUCAUUGUUGCAGCUGUAGGAUCUCGAUUUUUUUAAAAAAAAUUAUAAUUUUUUUACUAAUUUUUUUUGAAACUUUCCCAUCUCUUCUGGUCCGUUUGGAAAGCGUUGCAGAGCAGGUACAGCCCCAGAGAUAUCCAGACUAGCUGGGGCUAACGGGGAGUGAGUGGAGAUGUGUGAUUUUCUGCCCUCUGAGAACUUUAUGCUCAGAGAACCAAAAUCUGCUUCUGGGAUGAAAAGAAACUGUAACUUCUGCUUCUCAGGAGAAUUUCGGAUGUAUGGAUGUACACAGAUGAGAUCUGGAGAAUGUCCUCCAAACCCUGAGGUUCUUCCCUUCCUGUGUGCAAGCCCAGGGCCAGCAGGACGAGGUGGGGCUGUGGGAGCCUUGUCCCCCCUGGAAUUUAUGGACUGGUGGGCACAGCUGCAUUUGUGGGAGGAGAACCUGCAUGGAGAACCAAGGGCAAAGAUGAAGGCAGGAUUCAAGUCUUCCCUCCACAUGUGCUGCUCCAGCAUCGAGGAGAUGUCAUGGUGGGAGCUCAUCCCAGCUCUGGAAGAGAUCCUGGGCGGCUCCAAGAUGAUCCUGAUUCAUGCUGUGGAUCCAAAUCAUCCCUUGCCCAGAGAUCAGCUUGUGGUGCUGUCCUGCCUGAACAUGGAAGGGUCCAGAAGUGCUCUGGUCCAGCUGCAGGGUGGUGAUGAAGAAGAUGAGAACCUAGAGGUGUCUGCUCCACCACAGGGAAUUGGUGCUCUUGCCCACUGAGAUGAAGCCAAGCAGAGGAAGAACUGGGAACCAACAGCCCCAGGACCAGGACCUUCACCUCGGAUGAAGCAUCAGGCUCAAGGCAAAAGGUCAGCAGUUUAUACCAGGCGUGAGAUCUGUAAAAGCAGAGCUUCCCACAGACCAAAAAGCUGUUUGUGGAGUGGGAUCGGGCAGCCAUCCUGAGAGCUUGAGAGAAUAUUUAAGCUCUGGAUUUGAGCAUCUGAUUGAAGCAACCACAUUACCACAACAUGAGGUGUCUGUUCUUCAGCUGAACCCCAGAAAUUCACCUCAUAACCCAGAGUGGGUGUCUGCUUCAGUCCUCAGAGCUACAACUACCUAAAACCAGGCCUUUUCAAAUCAUUCCUGGGACAUCCUGGUGGGGAGAAAUCAAAGGUGUUGGGUGGAAGAAUGGCUCCUGGGAAGCAGAGGAGAAUUCCUGCCUGAGAGCUCCUGAACCAUGACACCCUCAGAGGGCUCUUCCAGAACCUCAUUCCAUGCUCUCAUCCUGUGACUGGAGGCCUCCUGCAGCCAGUGGACCCUGCUAGGAGAGCAGAUUGCUGAGAUGGCAAUUGGGAGCUACUCUGGUGCUGCCAGUACCAAGCCAUAGGGGUGAGGCCAGAAAUUGAUUUCUUCCGUGGAUCCUUCUGUACCAUUGUGAGUGAUGUGGUUCCAGACACCCUCACCUGUGUGUGGAGGUGGCUGCUGGGUGUGGUGUUGGCUGGUGGCACAAAAACACAUCCCAGCUCCUGCUGUGGUGGCCCCAUCCCACCUUUCAGCCCCUCUUUUAGCUCCAGCUGCAGCUUUCCCCAGACUCCACGUUCAAGCUGAAGUGAACAGAUGGAGAGGCUGGGCAUGCAUGAUAUGAAUGAGAGUUGGAAGCACAAGGAAAGGAUGCAAACUAAGAGUUUAGCACGGAGCAGACACCUUUAUCAGCAGCAGCAGGACCACAGGGAUGUAUUUUCCCAGAAGAGUGUGACAGCAGCACUCCACAAAGUUCACUUUUCACUGGGCUGAAAGCUCUUUUCUCUAUUUUUAACGUACUACAGAGCCCUUAUAAUUCCCAAAAUACCAACCAGAAAUACUCCUUGGUAACAAAGUGGAGUUUUUGCAGCAAGCAAGCCUUUGGAUCUACAAGGAGGCAUCAAAGAGGGGAUCUAAUGAAAUUUUAAAAAGGAACAAGCCAUAAAACUCAGAUCGAAGGCUCUGAAUCGUUUUGCUUAUUUCUGACGGACCUGAACAUUUCUUGGGAGAGUUUCUUCUAAAAGAAAUAAAUAAACCAUCCUCUUAAAGCCACAGCAGGACAUUCCCCCAUACAUUUACAUAAAUAUACACACACACUUAUGUAUACAGAUAAAAUGCCCACAGUAAAGCAGUUUGCAAGAUUUGAUUCUGCGAGACUUUGCUCAGGAUGUCUGGAUUUGGAUCCAGAGGAGAGGAGCCCAGAGUGCCAGGCUGAGCUGGCCAGAAUGAGGAGGCACAGCUGCCUCAUCUGGCUUAGCAAGACAUUUAUAAGGUGCUGAUCUCAGGGUGUACAGCAGAGGUGUUGAAUGAAUCAUGAAAUUUAAUUUAUUAGAAUUGUCAGACAGACAAGAAAAAUCUGACUUGUAUUGAGCGUGCAAGGACAUACCAUCUAAUUUGGAAGUUUUCACUCCCCUUUUAGGAAUUCAGAAGAUGUCACAGCUUUCCUUUUUUUGGGGAAGGUACAGAUUGAAGCUGGAUGUUUUGCUGGAAAAGCAUUUCAUCUUCUGGGUUUUAUCAGAAGUGACAAUGAUCUCAGCUUAGUCCCUGCUAAUCAGAAUGGGCAAUCAGACACCACGUAGUGUUUCUGGUGUUUCUGCCUGCAGGUGAGGUCAGAAUGAAUACACCUGAGUGAUCCAGGGGCCUUUGGUGGGCACCAGAACCCUCUGUCCAUAGCCAAGGUUCUCUGCUGCAAAUGAGACAGAGAUGGGCUCAAAACUCACCUCUCCAUGGACAGGGUGGCAUCCCAAGCACGGGGCUCCACUUUCGGGGAGUGCUUGGAUCUCCUUUUGAGUUACCUCAACCCAGACACUCAAACUUGGCAAGCCCAAACUUUCACCCCAAACGUGAGCGUGGCAUGAAUGGAGCAAUGAAAGUUAAUCAGCGUCAUUAAACGUGUCAGAGCAGCGGGUUAUUAAAAUUACCACCAUUCACUCUUGGAAAUGGGAACAAAAAAUUAUGCCCUGGCUUUCUGAGCCUGUUUGUCUUGUUUUCCCACACUGCUCAUGAAUUACUCCAGUAUAUUACAAUGUCCUCUAUCCAUCUUCAUUAGCAUUGUGAGCAAAUUGUAUUGGGCUGUAAUGCAGCGUUUUUUUGUAAUUUUUUUUUUUUGGGGGUAUUGUACAAACAUACACGGUGUACAGAAAAUGGGCAAUUUAAUAUGAAAAGAAUAUUGUGCCUCAGAAUUUUUAUUUUCUAAACAGUCAUUUCAGUUGGGAAUUAUUGCACGAUUUGUGCAUAAUUUCUCAUGGAUAGUUAUUUAAAUAUAAAUAGGGAAAAUAUGUAAGUCCAUAUGGUGGCUAUCUACCCUUUCUUGAUGCCUCUCCAUAUUUUUAAUAGUGCAAUAAACAAAAGAUAAAAACAUCUCUAAGCCACACACUAGUCAAAAGAAGAUAAUUGUGCCUCUAUGUGUUUAUUGUAAUUUGAAUGUGCUUCAAUUAACUUUCCUCAAUAUUUCCCAGUUCUUUUAAAAGAAACUUAAAUUGGUUUUUAUUUUGUGAAAUUUGUUUUCUGUGCAAUAAGGAAAAAAAAAAAAAAAGAAAACCACAAUGUCUUUGUUUACCUCAUUAUGGAUACAUCCUAUGCAGGAGUAAAGCUCAAACUCUUUAUUCCCAACAACCUUUAUUUUAUUUUUCCAUUCUCACAUGCUUCUUAUCAUACUUUAAGUAAAAAUACCAAAUUUCUAGAGCUCCCGAGGAAGAGGCAACUAAUCAUCACUCAAUAUAUCACAUAUCAAAGUGUGGUAAGACAUGAAAAUGGCAGAAAAGCAAACUCUUGCACUUUUGCACUGCAGUCACUUUUAAAAGAUGAGAAUUUAUUACCCUUUCCUCCUCUGAAUCAUCAGGGCCACCAGAACAGAGAGAAUAUAUCUGGAAUGCUUGUUGUAAUUAACCUUGAGGCUUUUAUUUAAACAAGGUCAAACAUUUUAACAGCUUUAUAAAUCAAGGUUGGGUCCGCGUGGCUCUAUAGCAUCAGGCUAAUGACAAAAUGCACACAGAAUACUUAUUAAACAGAUUUAUUUACAGAAAAAAAUAUCCUGCAGGCUUCAGGGGGCCACACCCACAGGCAGAGCCGGCCCUGAGGAUGGAUAUCCAGCUCCAGCCCCGAGCUGGAUUUGCCCCAAGGUGAUCUCUGAAAUGCUGGAAUGUGCUUUUUUUAGCUGCUACCAAGGAGCCCAGCCCCAGGUAUGGGCAAAUUAGGUCAUCUGCAAAUGAAGUGCAUUUUUAAUGCGAUUGCAAAAUUACAGGAGGUAGAUUGCAAACAUCCCAAUGUCUGCUGUUCCCGUCCUUAAUGUUGUCUGAUUUUUAUUUACUCUUUCUCCUGUGUCAGCCAGGUUUUACUGGAAGGAGAAGGAAGGAGGACAUGUGAGUUGAGCUAGAUGAACUACUGCCUCAUGGUGAACAUUAAUCAGUCUCUAAAAUUAACACCUUUGGAUUCCUCCAUCCAUUCUGGGUUAUCUGCUCCUUAUUUAUAAGAAGUGGCCUUUAUGAGUAAUUUUUUUCAGCAUGGGGAACAUAAUUUUUUCUAUUUUACACUGUAAAUAAACAACAGCUUUCAAGUCAUCCCCAUUCAUAAUUUUACACUCUGUUCAGUGUCCAUGUGAAGAAUGCCACAAGUCACAGUGCCUGACACAGCUCCUUUACCUCUCCACAGGCAUCCCUUACAAAAAUCCUCUCUGAAAUCAAGGAGGUCCACAUGGACAAGAGAUGGCCACCCAUGUGUGUGACCCUCCUGAUGCCUUGAGAAGGCUGACCUAGAACACAGGCUGGACAGAGCUAAAGAAUAAAGUAGGAAUUUAUUAAAAGGCCUCAAUAGAUCCACCUUGGGCAGCACAAGAGCCCAGCCAGGUUAUA